rnacentral:rRNA from 1 species
AUUGAACGCUGGCGGCAUGCUUUACACAUGCAAGUCGAACGGUAACAGGUCUUCGGAUGCUGACGAGUGGCGAACGGGUGAGUAAUACAUCGGAACGUGCCUAGUAGUGGGGGAUAACUACUCGAAAGAGUAGCUAAUACCGCAUGAGAUCUACGGAUGAAAGCAGGGGACCUUCGGGCCUUGUGCUACUAGAGCGGCUGAUGGCAGAUUAGGUGGUUUGUGGGGUAAAGGCUUACCAAGCCUGCGAUCUGUAGCUGGUCUGAGAGGACGACCAGCCCCACAGGGACUGAGACACGGCCCAGACUCCUAGGGGAGGCAGCAGGGUGGAAUUUUGGUCAAUGGGCGAAAGCCUGAUCCAGCAAUGACGCGUGCAGGAUGAAGGCCCUCGGGUUGUAAACUGCUUUUGUACGGAACGAAAAGCCUGGGGCUAAUAUCCCCGGGUCAUGACGGUACCGUAAGAAUAAGCACCGUCUAACUACUUGCCAGCCGCCGCGGUAAGAC